rnacentral:rRNA from 1 species
UGGUUCUCCCCGAAAGCUAUUUAGGUAGCGCCUCGUGAAUUCAUCUCCGGGGGUAGAGCACUGUUUCGGCUAGGGGGCCAUCCCGGCUUACCAACCCGAUGCAAACUGCGAAUACCGGAGAAUGUUAUCACGGGAGACACACGGCGGGUGCUAACGUCCGUCGUGAAGAGGGAAACAACCCAGACCGCCAGCUAAGGUCCCAAAGUCAUGGUUAAGUGGGAAACGAUGUGGGAAGGCCCAGACAGCCAGGAUGUUGGCUUAGAAGCAGCCAUCAUUUAAAGAAAGCGUAAUAGCUCACUGGUCGAGUCGGCCUGCGCGGAAGAUGUAACGGGGCUAAACCAUGCACCGAAGCUGCGGCAGCGAACGUAUCACCCAAGACAACUUUACGGAGUUGACGAUUGACGGAGCGAAGCGACGUCAAAGCGUUCAUUAAAGUCGAGUUGGCUUAGGGAUACGUUCGUUGGGUAGGGGAGCGUUCUGUAAGCCUGUGAAGGUGUGUCGUGAGGCAUGCUGGAGGUAUCAGAAGUGCGAAUGCUGACAUAAGUAACGAUAAAGCGGGUGAAAAGCCCGCUCGCCGGAAGACCAAGGGUUCCUGUCCAACGUUAAUCGGGGCAGGGUGAGUCGACCCCUAAGGCGAGGCCGAAAGGCGUAGUCGAUGGGAAACGGGUUAAUAUUCCCGUACUUGGUGUUACUGCGAAGGGGGGACGGAGAAGGCUAUGUUGGCCGGGCGACGGUUGUCCCGGUUUAAGCGUGUAGGUGUGUGUUCCAGGUAAAUCCGGUUCACUUUAACACUGAGGCGUGACGACGAGGCACUACGGUGCUGAAGCAACAAAUGCCCUGCUUCCAGGAAAAGCCUCUAAGCAUCAGGUAACACGAAAUCGUAC